UAUUCCCAAACAACUCGACUCGUCGGCGGAGUUUUACGCGGUUAGAGGCGCCAUCGCACGGGGCUCUCACCCUCUGCGGCGUCCUGUUCCAAGGAACGUAGACAGCGCCCGCCCCAAAACAUCCGCCUGCAAAUUACAACGCCCGCGGGCUUUCAAAUUUGAGCUGUUGCCGCUUCACUCGCCGUUACUGAGGCAAUCCCGGUUGGUUUCUUUUCCUCCGCGCUUAUUGAUAUGCA
rnacentral:rRNA from 1 species